rnacentral:rRNA from 1 species
GACGAACGCUGGCGGCGUGCCUAAUACAUGCAAGUCGAACGCAGUGGGGACGGGUGAGUAACACGUGGGUAACCUCCCAUCAGAGGGGAUAACCCUUGGAAACAGGUGCUAAACCGAUACUGAUGGAUGGACCCGGGGUGCAUUAGCUAGUUGGUGAGUUAAAGGCUCACCAAGGCCACGAUGCGUAGCCGGCCUGAGAGGAUGAUCAGCCACACUGGGACUGAGCCACGGCCCAGACUCCUACGGGAGGCAGCAGUAGUGAAUCUUCGGCAAUGGACGAAAGUCUGACCGAGCAAUGCCGCGUGAGUGAAGAAGGUUUUCGGAUCGUAAAGCUCUUUUGUUUGAGAAGCGGUAUCUAACCAGAAAGCCACGGCUAACUACGUGCCAGCAGCCGCGGUAAUAC